rnacentral:rRNA from 1 species
AUUGAACGCUGGCGGCAUGCCUAACACAUGCAAGUCGAACGAGUGGCGGACGGGUGAGUAAUGUCUGGGAACCUGCCCGAUGGCGGGGGAUAACUACUGGAAACGGUAGCUAAUACCGCAUACCCUCGGAUGUGCCCCUAUGGGAUUAGCUAGUAGGUGGGGUAAUGGCUCACCUAGGCGACGAUCCCUAGCUGGUCUGAGAGGAUGACCAGCCACACUGGAACUGAGACACGGUCCAGACUCCUACGGGAGGCAGCAGUGGGGAAUAUUGGACAAUGGGGGAAAGCCUGAUGCAGCCAUGCCGCGUGUAUGAAGAAGGCCUUCGGGUUGUAAAGUACUUUCAGCGGGGAGGCGUUACCCGCAGAAGAAGCACCGGCUAACACCGUGCCAGCAGCCGCGGUAAUUC